rnacentral:tRNA from 1 species
CAUUAAGAAGCUGUAUAGUAUUAACCUUUCAAGUUGAAGACUGGGAGUUUAAAUCUCUCCUUAAUGA